rnacentral:rRNA from 1 species
AAGUCGAACGGUAACAGAGAAGAGCUUGCUCUUUUGCUGACGAGUGGCGCACGGGUGCGUAACGCGUAUAUAAUCUACCUUUUACAGGGGGAUAGCCUUUAGAAAUGAAGAAUAAUACCCCAUAGUAAGUUUACUUGGCAUCGAGAAAACUUUAAAGCUUCGGCGGUAAAAGAUGAAUAUGCGUUCUAUUAGCUAGAUGGUGUGGUAACGGCACACCAUGGCGACGAUAGAUAGGGGCCCUGAGAGGGGGAUCCCCCACACUGGUACUGAGACACGGACCAGACUCCUACGGGAGGCAGCAGUGAGGAAUAUUGGACAAUGGGCGAAAGCCUGAUCCAGCCAUGCCGCGUGCAGGAAGACUGCCCUAUGGGUUGUAAACUGCUUUUAUACGGGAAGAACCCCAUCUACGUGUAGAUGGCUGACGGUACCGUAAGAAUAAGGAUCGGCUAACUCCGUGCCAGCAGCCGCGGUAAUACGGAGGAUCCAAGCGUUAUCCGGAAUCAUUGGGUUUAAAGGGUCCGUAGGUGGAUAAUUAAGUCAGGGGUGAAAGUCUGCAGCUCAACUGUAGAAUUGCCUUUGAUACUGGUUAUCUUGAAUUAUUGUGAAGUGGUUAGAAUAUGUAGUGUAGCGGUGAAAUGCAUAGAUAUUACAUAGAAUACCAAUUGCGAAGGCAGAUCACUAACAAUAUAUUGACACUGAUGGACGAAAGCGUGGGGAGCGAACAGGAUUAGAUACCCUGGUAGUCCACGCCGUAAACGAUGGUCACUAGCUGUUCGGACUUCGGUCUGAGUGGCUAAGCGAAAGUGAUAAGUGACCCACCUGGGGGAGUACGUUCGCAAGAAUGAAACUCAAAGGAAUUGACGGGGGCCCGCACAAGCGGUGGGAGCAUGUGGGUUUUAAUUUCGAUGAUACGCGAGGAACCUUACCA